GACGAACGCUGGCGGCGUGCUUAACACAUGCAAGUCGAACGGAAAGGCCCUGCUUUUGUGGGGUGCUCGAGUGGCGAACGGGUGAGUAACACGUGAGUAACCUGCCCUUGACUUUGGGAUAACUUCAGGAAACUGGGGCUAAUACCGGAUAGGAGCUCCUGCUGCAUGGUGGGGGUUGGAAAGUUUCGGCGGUUGGGGAUGGACUCGCGGCUUAUCAGCUUGUUUGUGGGGUAGUGGCUUACCAAGGCUUUGACGGGUAGCCGGCCUGAGAGGGUGACCGGCCACAUUGGGACUGAGAUACGGCCCAGACUCCUACGGGAGGCAGCAGUGGGGAAUAUUGCACAAUGGGCGGAAGCAUGAUGCAGCAACGCCGCGUGCGGGAUGACGGCCUUCGGGUUGUAAACCGCUUUCGCCUGUGACGAAGCGUGAGUGACGGUAAUGGGUAAAGAAGCACCGGCUAACUACGUG
rnacentral:rRNA from 1 species